GACGAACGCUGGCGGCGUGCUUAACACAUGCAAGUCGAACGGAAAGGCCCUGCUUGCAGGGUACUCGAGUGCGAACGGGUGAGUAACACGUGGGUGAUCUGCCCUGCACUUCGGGAUAAGCCUGGGAAACUGGGUCUAAUACCGGAUAGGAGCCAUUUUUAGUGUGAUGGUUGGAAAGUUUUUUCGGUGUAGGAUGAGCUCGCGGCCUAUCAGCUUGUUGGUGGGGUAAUGGCCUACCAAGGCGGCGACGGGUAGCCGGCCUGAGAGGGUGGACGGCCACAUUGGGACUGAGAUACGGCCCAGACUCCUACGGGAGGCAGCAGUGGGGAAUAUUGCACAAUGGGCGCAAGCCUGAUGCAGCGACGCCGCGUGGGGGAUGACGGCCUUCGGGUUGUAAACUCCUUUCGCUAGGGACGAAGCUUUUUGUGACGGUACCUAGAGAAGAAGCACCGGCUAACUACGUG
rnacentral:rRNA from 1 species